GACGAACGCUGGCGGCGUGCCUAAUACAUGCAAGUAGAACGCUGAAGGAGGAGCUUGCUUCUCCGGAUGAGUUGCGAACGGGUGAGUAACGCGUAGGUAACCUGCCUGGUAGCGGGGGAUAACUAUUGGAAACGAUAGCUAAUACCGCAUAACAGUAGAUGUUGCAUGACAUUUACUUAAAAGGUGCAAUUGCAUCACUACCAGAUGGACCUGCGUUGUAUUAGCUAGUUGGUGAGGUAACGGCUCACCAAGGCGACGAUACAUAGCCGACCUGAGAGGGUGAUCGGCCACACUGGGACUGAGACACGGCCCAGACUCCUACGGGAGGCAGCAGUAGGGAAUCUUCGGCAAUGGACGGAAGUCUGACCGAGCAACGCCGCGUGAGUGAAGAAGGUUUUCGGAUCGUAAAGCUCUGUUGUAAGAGAAGAACGAGUGUGAGAGUGGAAAGUUCACACUGUGACGGUAUCUUACCAGAAAGGGACGGCUAACUACGUG
rnacentral:rRNA from 1 species